rnacentral:lncRNA from 1 species
GCUUAGCCUUGUGACAAACCCCUGCAGAGUUCCAGCAGGCCUGAGAAUGCAAAGCAUGAGACAUUUCCUCUAAAAGCUGGACAGAAAAUAUUAGGCACUGUGAUCAAUGCAGCAAUACUGAGAUACUCCGCUGGAGUGAGACUCCAUUGUCAUCACUAAUGGCAAUGUGGUAUUAAAAAGGACACUCAGGUUGUUCGGAUGCCUAGGGAUCCCGCAGAACCUCUCACCAGUCGUGUGACGUCGGGCAAGUCAGUUUUCCACUCAGCCUCAGUUUACUCAGCUGUGAAAUGGUGAUCAUAGUAUUGAAGCAAGGCGUCAAGACGGUGUUCACAAAGUGCCUGGCACUGUGACUGUCACAGGAGACACAGUCCCAAAAUAGUGUCAGCAGCAGCACAAUGAUGGCAUAAUGAAGGCUGCAGUGUCUGCACACAGUUGGUGCUGAUGUGACUUGCUCCUCCUGCCUUCUGCCAUGAUUGUGAGAUCUCCCCAACCAUGUGGAACUGUAAGUCCAAUUAAACCUCUUUCUUUUGUAAAUUGCCCAGUCUCGGGUAUGUAGGGACUAAUACAGGCCCUCAGACAUGGGCCCUCAAAGCCCGGGGCCCUGCAUGAUUGUACAGAUCUGCCAUCCAAGAAGCUGGCCCUACAAUGAACAGCACAAACAAGCAAAAUGCUGCCCUCUGCAGAAGGUUCCAACCACCCUCCAACUUUGCAAGCCAAGACCUCUGGAAUCCCAGUCUCCUGAUGGGGAGCCUCCCAGACAGCCUCCCUUUGGGAUGUACACCUUCCUAGAUCCACGCCCAGACCCGUACCACUGGGUCUGGCGGAGUAAUGCCCGGCAACCCCCAGACUCAGCCAGGAAGCCUGUGCUUUGCCUGGGCUUCCUGGAUUGAGGCAUUCUCCACUUCCACCACUUUGAAACCUGCCACCAGCUUCUCCCACAAAGUACCCUCAGAAUCCCAUGUGGUCAAAGCUGUGGGGAGCAGUUCUCUCCUACCUUGGGUGGCUCAGCUCUGCUGACCUGACGCUAAGGGCUGGGGAGGCUGUGGCAUUAGCCGGCUGGGGGAUAAAGGUAGAUUUCUUAGGCAGCAGGGGGCACUAGAACCUCCAAACAGGACGCAGGGUAUACACACCUCAUCAAUUUCAGGAGCAGGGCUGCCCAUAGGGCAGAGAUAUUAGCGAGGAUCCAUAACCAGGCACCUUGGGGUGCCUGCCCUCAACUUAAGGAGUUCGCCUGCCAAAAGGGAAAUGUGCAUUAUCUAUAAUUAAAGGGAGCAGGUGGUAGAUGUCAGAAAUGUACAGCAUAUGACUGAGAAUUUGGACCCCACUCCUCCCUAGCUGUGUGACCUUGGGCAAGAUACCUAACUUCUCUGUGCCUCUUUGUCCUCCUCUGCACAAAAGGAUCAAUAAUGCUUUCUUCCUUAUGGGUGGUGGGGUGGGAGCAGCUAAACAAGUAGUAAACCUGGAGUGUAUUUAGCCAAGGACCUCACCAUGGUCAGGACUCAAUGAACACGUGGGUUACGUGAGAACUCCAUUGAGGCACAGAUGACAGCUAGUCAGGGGCUGAAGUCGGGAGGUGGUUGGAGGAGUGAAGGGAGGCUGUGGAAAAGCAUUUGAAUUGGACUCUAGGGCAGACAGAAGGAAGGCAAUGACAAAUCUUUAUUCUAGUUUAGGUGGACACAUUUCAUACACUUCUGUCUUGUUUCAACCCAGAGAACGUGAAUCUUUUCUUUUGUAAAGAUUUGCAUAAUGUCAUCUACUCAACCACUUUCUGGCAGUAAGCCAUCAGCCAUCCCUCGGCUUCUGGAAAUGCAAUGGACUAGGUAGUUUGUAUCACUUGCCAAUUGCCUAGACCAGAGCAAAUCUAGUUGUAGAUUAGCAUUACAUUUAAUUAAACAUAAAUGGGCCCUUGCAAUAACUUUGACACUUUAUAGGGAGUGAAAAGUACUGGACUAGAAACUUGAAAGAUCUAAGGCUCAUGUUUUAACUGCAUUGCUAAGUUGACUUGUAAAUUUGCUCCUUCAAUUUCCAUCUCUCAAAUGGAAACUAAAUUAUUACAUUUCCUAUUCCAUCCCAAGACUGUCUCACCCCAUCAAGUCCCUUUUAUAUCUUGGAUGGAUAAAUAGGAUAUUUGGCUUGUGAUGCUCUAUUUGGUAUAAAAACACUUAUUUUCUUGACACUGCAUUAUCAUAGUUCCUAGAUCCCAAUUAAUGGACCAAAUGUGUGCUUUGCUGGUAUUUCAGAGAGUCAUACAGUAUUCCUCAAAGUGUUCAGGACUUAGCAUUCUCUGAUUUUUUAAUAGUUUCUCUAUUGCAAACGACAAAUUUGCCAUCUGUUUCACCCAUGUAUUCAUUCUUGAGAUAAUUUCUCUCCCUCUCCCCAAGCACACCAUCUCCCCUGAAUGCUUUACCCAAUGGAAGUCUGUAGACCAACAAAAUGCAAAAUAAUCCCAAAAAAUUGGGAAAGGGGACAGAAAACAUGGCAAAAAUACAGUAGGAGGCUG